UACAGAGGGUGCGAGCGUUGUCCGGAAUCACUGGGCGUAAAGGGCGCGUAGGUGGCGAUCCAAGUCCAUGGUGAAAGCUCGAUGCUCAACAUCGAGUCGGCCACGGAUACUGGGUUGCUUGAGCACUGUAGGGGCAGAUGGAAUUCCGGGUGUAGCGGUGGAAUGCGCAGAUAUCAGGAAGAACACCAACGGCGAAGGCAGCUCGCUGGGACGGUACUGACGCUGAGACGCGAAAGCGUGGGGAGCGAACAGG
rnacentral:rRNA from 1 species